rnacentral:rRNA from 1 species
UACGUAGGGGGCAAGCGUUGUCCGGAAUUACUGGGCGUAAAGCGCACGUAGGCGGCUUGGUAUGUCGGGUGUGAAAUCCCCGGGCUCAACCUGGGAACUGCAUCCGAAACUGCCUUGCUAGAGUAUGGGAGAGGGAAGUGGAAUUUCCGGUGUAGCGGUGAAAUGCGUAGAUAUCGGAAGGAACAUCAGUGGCGAAAGCGACUUCCUGGACCAAUACUGACGCUCAUGUGCGAAAGCGUGGGGAGCAAACAGG